UAAGAAAAAACAGUGACCUCGUAUAAGCAUUGAUCGAAGAAGACAACACAAGCAUCAUAGAACACACAAUCAUUGUUUACUAGAUAUUGCUAAACGUAGCUUAUCAUUCUCUGCAACCUCUACUCUUCUCCAUUCCCAUAAUUAUCCAUUCCCAUUGGUUCAAGUUUCAUUUUUUUUGUUCACAAAGCGGCCAAGUAACUACACCAUUUUACGUAUACCAUACUACAACACAAAAAACAUUUAAAGCCAUCAACAAUAACC
rnacentral:lncRNA from 1 species